AAUUCGAUUGAGUUUGAUCAUGGCUCAGGACGAACGCUGGCGGCGUGCUUAACACAUGCAAGUCGAACGGUGAUGAGGAGCUUGCUUCUCUGAUCAGUGGCGAACGGGUGAGUAACACGUGAGCAAUCUGCCCUUGACUCUGGGAUAAGCGUUGGAAACGACGUCUAAUACCGGAUACGACUCUUGGAGGCAUCUCUGGGGGUGGAAAGAAUUUUGGUCAAGGAUGAGCUCGCGGCCUAUCAGCUUGUUGGUGAGGUAAUGGCUCACCAAGGCGACGACGGGUAGCCGGCCUGAGAGGGUGACCGGCCACACUGGGACUGAGACACGGCCCAGACUCCUACGGGAGGCAGCAGUGGGGAAUAUUGCACAAUGGGCGAAAGCCUGAUGCAGCAACGCCGCGUGAGGGACGACGGCCUUCGGGUUGUAAACCUCUUUUAGUAGGGAAGAAGCGUAACAGUGACGGUACCUGCAGAAAAAGCACCGGCUAACUACGUGCCAGCAGCCGCGGUAAUACGUAGGGUGCAAGCGUUGUCCGGAAUUAUUGGGCGUAAAGAGCUCGUAGGCGGUUUGUCGCGUCUGCUGUGAAAACCCGAGGCUCAACCUCGGG
rnacentral:rRNA from 1 species